rnacentral:rRNA from 1 species
AUUGAACGCUGGCGGCAGGCCUAACACAUGCAAGUCGAACGAGUGGCGGACGGGUGAGUAAUGUAUGGGAAACUGCCCUAUGGUGGGGGAUAACUACUGGAAACGUUAGCUAAUACCGCAUACGAUCGGAUGAGCCCAGAUGGGAUUAGCUAGUAGGCGGGGUAACGGCCCACCUAGGCGACGAUCCCUAGCUGGUCUGAGAGGAUGACCAGCCACACUGGAACUGAGACACGGUCCAGACUCCUACGGGAGGCAGCAGUGGGGAAUAUUGCACAAUGGGCGCAAGCCUGAUGCAGCCAUGCCGCGUGUAUGAAGAAGGCCUGCGGGUUGUAAAGUACUUUCGGUGAGAAGGCGUUACUCGAAGAAGAAGCACCGGCUAACUCCGUGCCAGCAGCCGCGGUAAUAC